AAAAGAAAGAAAGGAUAAAAUGAAACAGAGAGCAGGGGAAAGAAAGAAGGAAGGAAAAAAGAAAGAAGGAAAAAUGGGAAAAUUUGGAUUUCAAGGCUUGAAAGUUAAAUAGCUAACGUUGUCUGGGGAAAUCUCGGCUAAGCAAGGAAAUGACAAGGACAAUAGGAGUUAGCUCGGAAAUUACGGUUAAGUUAAGGCUAGAUCAUUGAAUCAGCAUCCCAGGCCGAUCCCGAAUUUGAUGAGGUAAAGCAUGUUGAGUAUUGGUAAUGGCAUGUACCUAGGACAUCUUAUGAGAGUCAUCUAGGUUGUGAAAGUAUUGAUGAAAUAAGUAAAUUAUGGUUGGCAAUGGUAUAUAGUAUGAAGUUGAAAUAAUUGAUAAAGUAAGUGAUAUACUUAAAAAGAUUCAUUGGAUAGGUUAUAAAAUAUUUUAGAUUGGUAAGAUUUUAGUAUAUUUAAGUGUAUUUGGAUUAUUUAAAUGUUGGCAAA